CAGUGGCUGAGUGGUAAAGCACUAGGCUUCUGAACUGGAGGUCCCAGGUUUAAAUCCUGCUG
rfam:Biomphalaria glabrata isolate BB02 unplaced genomic scaffold LGTN_random_Scaffold876, whole genome shotgun sequence.